rnacentral:rRNA from 1 species
AUGGAUCACAGGUGAC